GACGAACGCUGGCGGCGUGCUUAACACAUGCAAGUCGAACGGAAAGGCCCUGCUUUUGUGGGGUGCUCGAUUGGCGAACGGGUGAGUAACACGUGAGUAACCUGCCCUUGACUUUCGGAUAACUUCAGGAAACUGGGGCUAAUAACGGAUAGGAGCUCCUGCUGCAUGGUGGGGGUUGGAAAGGUUCGGCGGUGGGGGAUGGACUCGCGGCUUAUCAGCUUGUUGGUGGGGUAGUUGCUUACCAAGGCUUUGACGGGUAGCCGGCCUGAGAGGGGGACCGGCCACACUGGGACUGCGAUACGGCCCAGACUCCUACGGGAGGCAGCAGUGGGGAAUAUUGCACAAUGGGCGGAAGCCUAAUGUAACGACGCCGCGUGCGGGAUAACGGGCUUCGGGUUGUAAACCGCUUUGGCCUGUGACGAAGCGUGAGUGACGGUAAUGGGUAAAGAAGCCCCGGCCAACUACGUG
rnacentral:rRNA from 1 species